UCUCUUUCCCUCUCUAUACUCGUUGUCACCGCACACGGAGAGCGCAUGCACCUUGAGCUGCUUCGUCUUCAGUCUUCACCGAGCCCUUCCGCCGCGCGCGACCCCGACCGCAUCUCAGGGAGCGCCGCACCUUCCUUUGCCAUUGUCAAGGGAUUUUGAAUGUAAUCGAUCGAUCAAGGAGCAACAUGCUUCCUCGGCGAAGCUGGUUGAGAACCAAUACUAGUGAAUGGAAUUGCAUAUUUUGUGGCUGACUGCUUUAAUUUCAUGAUAUUAAUAUCUUCAUCACAAUGGGGAUUUUGAUUAUGUAAACAUGGACACUCUUGUUGCUAUACGCACACUAGAAGCGACUUAUAAGUCAUCUGCAGAUGCAGCUGCUGCUUCUGUUGAAACAAUGAUUCUGAAGCUAACUGAAAUGGCAUGUUAUAACUGCUAAAGAGGAAAACAUUGCCAACUUGUCAAUGCAGAGCUAUCACGCUGUAUAUUGAUUUUUAAUAUAUUAUUUGUGACUGAUGGUCAUCUGAAAAGGUAUGUUAAUGUUAUUGCUGCUGUUUGUUUGUGGCAGUGUAGCCUCUGAGUCUGAGGUCAAGUCUAUGAUCAAGGAACCAAGCUCCAAAUUUGAGAACAACAGUCACUGGAACGGAAGCAAGCUUGGACAUGUUUACAAGUUCCUUAGGUCUCGGGUUUGAUUCGUCCUAUGAUAUUGCUAAUAAAUACACUGACAGUUAUGCAGAUGCUCUCAAGUGGCUUAGUCACCAAAAUCCUAGAUAUCUGUGGUGUUGACUUCAUUUGUAUUUUCAAACUUAACCAACCACUCAAACCCUUCAAGACAAGCUGGGCUGAAGCUGUUUUAACUAUAACAAAGGCAGGAAAAAGGAUGAUUGAGAAGCAUGUCAGCUGUCCAUCUCUGGUUAGGAUCAAUCACAAAGCACUUGCUCAAGAAGUCUCUACAAUCAGAGCUUACUCCAUUUGGUAUCAUUCGUUGUUCUUUAACGAAUGCAAGCUUUAACAUCACCUCCUCACUAGUUUGUAUAUUCUUCCAUGCCGGUAUCCCAGUUAUCAUCUCGAUUACAAUGCACCCGAGGGACCAGAUAUCUAGAGGUGAUUCAAUCUGACCCAUAACCGAUUCCGGCGACAUGUAAAGUGGUGUCCCUCUGAACUUUAGGUUCCAACAUUCAGCAUUGACUACCUCUUCUCUAGUCUUGGACAAUCCAAAAUCCGCAAUCUUCACUUGAUAUUUCACAAUAUCACCCUUAGAUGAAGGAAAGAUAAGGAUGUUGUCUGGUUUGAGAUCGCAAUGAACAACACCAACGCGAUGAAUGCGAGAAAGUCCUUUGAGAAGCAUGCGGGUGUAGACUCUUGCUUCGUAUUCAAAGAUUGGCCUCUUCCUGAUUAAAUCUCCAAGAGAACCGUAAGGUGUAAACUCCAUGAAGAGGUUGUAGGUCAAAUGACCUUUCUCCAAAGUGGGUUGGCCAAAAUAGCAUUGAAUGAUCUCUUCACAACCAGUGAAUGAUUUCAUGAUUCUUUCUUCUCUUUGCAAUGGAUCACUCAAGAAUGGCCUUGAACUCUUCACAGCUACAACCUUUCUUUUUCCCUGUGACGGAAUGACAAGUGCAAGGUAAACAGUUGCAGAGGAACCAUUCCCCAAUGUUCUUAACUUCGUCCACACAGGCACACUCAUCAUCAUCAUAUUUUCUUUAUUUCUUCUCCACCAAUUGUAUUUUAUUUUCUCCUGAAUAGAGGAAGAGAAACCUGUUGUAUUUA